GGAGGUGAAAGAAACGGCUGAGAAGGCAGCUAGUGGAGAGCUCCCGGUCCUUCCUUGGCAUCCUCAGAGCAGUUCGACUUCGAAGAGUGAGGCUGUACACGGGUCUAGGCCCUUGUUGCAGCCCCCUGCUAGGGGCCCUAAAAAUAUGGACUGGCAGAGAACUGUGGAGUUUCACAGAGAGAAGGAAGAGCCAGGAGGAAAUGAUGUCAAAUGGGGGAAAAUGGACAACUGUGACCAUGACGGUAUCAGGCAUCUUUCAUCCAGGAAAAAUGAGCAGCCAGAGCCUAGUGAAGCCUUUCAAGCAAGUUCUGACAUGUCUGUGACCACUGAGAAAUCUUACAAUGUAAGUAAUGUGGCUUGGAGAGCCACAUUGAGCCCAGGGAUCUAACAAACUAGAACCAAGG
rnacentral:lncRNA from 1 species